AGUGGCUCUUUUGGGAUCUUAAUGUAAAGAUGUUGAAGGCUUUUUUUGUGUGGCAGAAUUCCCUUUAAAUCCUCUAACGCCCCACAGAAACUCUGAGUCGUCAUACGGUGCAACGUUUACUCCAGUUUCAUCAUGAGGACCUUUGUGAAGGAGCUGGCUCUGGUGGCUCUGUUUCUCUGCCUCCACUCGGUUCUGCUCACCGAAGCACAGAGUAUUGUGACCACACCGCCUGACACAUCAGACCCACCGAGACCUAGAACCACCCCACAGAGAACCACCCCACCACCAAAGAGAACCCCAUGGCCCACCAUCCCAGUAGGCGUGAAGGCGGAGGGGGCGAUGCUCGAGAUCAAGGGGAUGUUUGGGAUAAAGGGGGUGCGUUGGAUGAAGGGGGAGCCCGUGUUCAACAGCGCUGAGCGAGUUGUGCCGCUCAGUCUCCUGCUCCUGCCGCUGCUCCUGCCGCUGCUCCUGCCGCUGCUGGGCUCUGCUCUCACGUCCUCUGCUAACCCACACACAUGACCUAAUGUUCUUCAAUAAUUCAUUCUGAUGAAAGAACCGGCUGAAGGGCCAGUUCUGCCAAUGUCAACAGAAAACUG
rnacentral:lncRNA from 1 species